rnacentral:lncRNA from 1 species
UUCCUCUUUAGUGCAAAUUGCACCAGGCUCACAGGGCGUCCUGUGGGAAUUGCUGGUCUAAAAGAAGCCAGUGGAGAAACGCCUGGCUUCGUCCCGACCUCUGCGCUAAACAAGAGGAAGUGGUCGCCCUCGCGCAAGUUUUCCAGAAUUUCAGCGGAAGCCGACUUGGAGCACCAGAAAUUCUACUUAAGCUGGAGCAAUCCGUCAUCUACUGCUGUCAAGGUCCCACGUAGAGAGAAAAGUCCUCGUGGAGGCGAACCAGUGCCUCAGUUUCCUCCUUCAGAGAAUGAAGAAAACACUUCCCCUUCUCGUCAAGCGCUGUGAGGCUCAAUGGUUGCUAGGAAUCCACUUGGAAAUCUGUACACAAAAGGUGCUGCCGUGGAUGUGAGAUGAGACGUCACGCUGCUCCUCGCACGGUGAACGUUUCAACCUCCUCCCCAGCUGGCCUCGGGGGGCCCUGGAAUGCAAGAACCUGUCUGGGGCAGACACAUCUCACUGUCACGGAGCAGCUCCAAGACUGGG